rnacentral:rRNA from 1 species
UGCUAUACAUGCAAGUCGUACGCUUCUUUUUCCACCGGAGCUUGCUCCACCGGAAAAAGAAGAGUGGCGAACGGGUGAGUAACACGUGGGUAACCUGCCCAUCAGAAGGGGAUAACACUUGGAAACAGGUGCUAAUACCGUAUAACAAUCGAAACCGCAUGGUUUUGAUUUGAAAGGCGCUUUCGGGUGUCGCUGAUGGAUGGACCCGCGGUGCAUUAGCUAGUUGGUGAGGUAACGGCUCACCAAGGCCACGAUGCAUAGCCGACCUGAGAGGGUGAUCGGCCACAUUGGGACUGAGACACGGCCCAAACUCCUACGGGAGGCAGCAGUAGGGAAUCUUCGGCAAUGGACGAAAGUCUGACCGAGCAACGCCGCGUGAGUGAAGAAGGUUUUCGGAUCGUAAAACUCUGUUGUUAGAGAAGAACAAGGAUGAGAGUAACUGUUCAUCCCUUGACGGUAUCUAACCAGAAAGCCACGGCUAACUACGUGCCAGCAGCCGCGGUAAUACGUAGGUGGCAAGCGUUGUCCGGAUUUAUUGGG